rnacentral:rRNA from 1 species
UACAGAGGGUGCAAGCGUUGUUCGGAAUUAUUGGGCGUAAAGGGCGCGUAGGCGGUGCGGUAAGUCUGUAGUGAAAUCUCUGGGCUCAACUCAGAGUCUGCUGCAGAAACUGCCGUGCUUGAGUGUGGGAGAGGUGAGUGGAAUUCCCGGUGUAGUGGUGAAAUGCGUAGAGAUCCGGCGGAACACCGGUGGCGCAGGCGGCACCCUGGGCCGAGGCCGACGCUGAGGCGCGAGAGCGUGGGGAGCGAACCGG